ensembl:lncRNA
AAAAACAAAUGAUAAAUAUAAUUUGCUAAUUUGAUCAGUCCUUUAUUGAAGAAAACUGGCGUGGAGGUUCAGAUACACACAUCUGGAUGACAAAAAAGAUAUUUAAAUGAUUUUCUAGUGCAGCUCUUUGCCUGUAUUUACUCAUGCCGUGCUAUAGAAGUGAGCAGAUCAUCCCUGCUGUAUUUUUACUGCUCAUCUCUCAGCAGGUCUUCCUUUGCCCCCGUCUUCUCAAGGUGGCACCGAGUUCUACGAGUGCCUCUGAGACUCUCCUCUAUAAAAAAUGGAGCAGCACAAGCUCUUUUGACAUCACACUUUCUGCUACCAGGAGACUAGAAAGUGAAGGUGGAGCACUCCGGAGAAAACGCUCUCGGUCUGUGCAUCUGUACUGAAGAUUUAAUCUCCACGCGACACUGCAAGAGGAAAAGGUGCAACAGAAAAUUGGACCUUCCAAGCGUCCUUGUGGAGAUGCAGGCUGAGAAGGAGCGGAACCGGCACCCAGCAUGACGAGAACAUCUGGUUGCUCCUCAGCGAGGCAAGAGAGAAUGAAGCUGCCUUGCAGUGGAGGAGAUGGUCCAGAAUGCUGCCUUCAACCAGUCAUUCCUGGGUGUACUGGGGCAGCUGGUGCAGGCAGUACUGGGGCAGCUGGUGCAGGCAGUACUGGGUGUACUGGGGCAGCUGGUGCAGGCAGUACUGGGUGUACUGGGGCAGCUGGUGCAGGCAGUGGGCAGCCAGAGUCCACCUCCCAGAGACUUGAGAUUUAGUUGUAUAUAGUUUUACUUUUAGCCCUCCACUGUAGGAGAGGCCCACCACAGUUUGUACUUUGCACAUUGUAAAUAGUUUUGAUUUUGC